rnacentral:lncRNA from 1 species
AUUUCUGGUAACAAUAACUUGAAAAAAUAAAACUACUGACUAUUUUGGGAUAAUGAAACCACUAAGGAAUGUUUUUCAUUAAAACUUUUAUUUUUUAAUGUACAUAUGUAAUAUCUCCUGAGCAUGAGGGUUAGGAUUUAUUUUUCUUCCAGUGGCUUAAUUUCCUCAAGUGGCAGCAAAUACUUCUUAAGUGUGCUCAACUUUUUUCCUUCCCACAUGCCUAGUGUGUCCUUGAAAAAUCACAGCUUAUUUUGGUCAUUAAAUGUAUAAUAUUUACUUAUUGUUGACAUUUUACAUGCUUGUACAAAGGAUGAGUUUUUUUUCUUAUAUAAUGAUGAGACAUGAAAUGAGAACUGGUUAAGUAUAAUUCUGCAAAUAAAUGAUUCAAAUUUAAUUU